rnacentral:rRNA from 1 species
GACGAACGCUGGCGGCGUGCUUAACACAUGCAAGUCGAACGGAAAGGCCCUGCUUUUGUGGGGUGCUCGAGUGGCGAACGGGUGAGUAACACGUGAGUAACCUGCCCUUGACUUUGGGAUAACUUCAGGAAACUGGGGCUAAUACCGGAUAGGAGCUCCUGCUGCAUGGUGGGGGUUGGAAAGUUUAGGCGGUUGGGGAUGGGCUCGCGGCUUAUCAGCUUGUUGGUGGGGUAGUGGCUUACCAAGGCUUUGACGGGUAGCCGGCCUGAGAGGGUGAACGGCCACAUUGGGACUGAGAUACGGCCCAGACUCCUACGGGAGGCAGCAGUGUGGAAUAUUGCACAAUGAGCGGAAGACUGAUGCAGAACCGCAGCGUGCGGGAUGACGGCCUUCGGGUUGUAAACCGCUUUCGCCUGUGACGGAGCGUGAGUGACGGUAAUGGGUAAAGAAGCACCGGCUAACUACGUG